rnacentral:rRNA from 1 species
AUGCAAAAACAAAAUAUUAAUUGGUUUGCAACAGUACUUAGAGUAGUGGUUUGUUUUAUUAUACUAACGGAUCUUAUCGAGUUUUCUGUUGAAGUUUUUUGUGGACGAAGUGUUCGAAGAUUGAGGAGGUCUCGAUAUGAGGAAAAGGAGGAGAGGCAAGAGCUCAAGAUUGGGGAUUCCCAAGGCACCCCAAGUAAGCAUUCAAGGAGACUCAAAGCAUCUAAGCUUGGGGAUGCCCCAGAAGGCAUCCCAUCUUUCUUCAACAAGUAUCGGUAUGUUUUCGGAUUCGUUUCAUUCAUGUGA